GAAGGCGCCACUAAGCCCUUUGUCUACUUCAUUUUCACUCUCUUCCUUCUCAGUUGGGCAUUUUCACUCUCUCCAUUUCUCAGUUGGGCAGUUUCACUCUCUAGAUUCUUCAUCACAUGAUAAGGAUGUCGGAAUUCAGCCAUGGAAAUAAAGGAACAGUUCAGUACCAUUGAAGAAUUUAAUGAGAUCGGUAUUUGAAGGCAGAUUGAAUGAAGAGCAAACCAAAGAGCUCAACUAGCUGAAGAUCGUAUAUGAGUACGAUGAGGCGGAGCCAAAGUUCUCAAAGGUGAUAUGGAGGAGCUAAAGAUGCUAGGAAGUGAGGAGAAGAAGGAGGCUGAUGGAGAUGAGAAGGAGGAGGCAAUGGGAAUGAGGAGAAGUAGGAGAAGGGAGGAGGAUUGAAUGAGAAAGGAGGUGAGGAGAAGAAACAGAGCACAAAGGAAGGGGACUAGCUAGCUAUAGAUUAAUUAUGCAAAUUGAUCUAAUGAGGCUAGGAGGUGAUCUGAAGGAGCUAAAGAGGCUAGGAGGUGA